rnacentral:rRNA from 1 species
GUGGAUUAGAUACCCGGGUAGUCCACGCUGUAAACGAUGUCAACUGGGUGUCGGUAGCUUUACGCUAUCGGUGCCGAAGCAAACGCGUUAAGUUGACCGCCUGGGGACUACGGCCGCAAGGCUAAAACUCAAAGGAAUUGACGGGGGCCCGCACAAGCAGCGGAGCGUGUGGUUUAAUUCGAUGCAACACGAAGAACCUUACCCAGGUUUGACAUGGUCGUAGUAGUGAACCGAAAGGGGAACGAGCCUUCGGGCAGCGAUCACAGGUGCUGCACGGUUGUCGUCAACU